UGCCAUGCGUGUCUGUAUGUGAAACUGUUUGUCUGCAUGUGUGUACGUUCCCCGCCCACACACAUGCAGACAAACAGUUUCACAUGCAGACACGCACAUA